ensembl:misc_RNA Metazoa_SRP Metazoan signal recognition particle RNA
GCCAGGCGCAUGGUGGGUGCCUGUAGUCCCAGCUACUCAGAGGCUGAGGCUGGAGGAUCUCUUGAGUCGAGGAGUUCUGGGCUGUAGUGCGCUAUGCAGAUCGGGUGUCUGCACUAAGUUUGGCAUUAAUGUGGUAACUUUCUGGGAGCGGGGGAACACCAGGUUGCCUAAGGAGGGGUGAACCAGCCCAGGUUGGAAAUGGAGCAGGUCAAAACUCCCAUGCUGAUCAGUAGCGGGAUCGCCUGUGAAUAGCCACUUCACUUUAGCCUGGGCAGCAUAGUGAGACCCUGUCUCUU